rnacentral:rRNA from 1 species
ACCGCAUGGUCAAGUGUGAAAAACUCCGGUGGUACAGGAUGGCUCCGCGUUGGAUUAGCCGGUUGCGGGUAACGGCCCACCAAAGCAACGAUCCAUAGCCGGCCUGAGAGGGUGAACGGCCACAUUGGGACUGAGACACGGCCCCAGACUCCUACGGGAGGCAGCAGUGGGGAAUAUUGCACAAUGGGGGAAACCCUGAUGCAGCGACGCCGCGUGAAGGAUGAAGUAUUUCGGUAUGUAAACUUCUAUCAGCAGGGAAGAGAUUGACGGUACCUGACUAAGAAGCCCCGGCUAACUACGUGCC